rnacentral:lncRNA from 1 species
UAUGCAACAAAACGACUUGCAUGAAGAAAUAUAGGGCUUGUUUGGUUCACCUAUUGUAGAUUAUGGAAUCUGAAUGAGAUUUAUUGAUUGUGAUAAUUAUUGUUUAUUUUUCGGAGAAAUCAAAUUUCGAUUCACAUUUCACUCUUGAAUGAAAAAUAAUUAAGUCUAUUUAUAGUCCUAUCUGGCUUUGAAUUUAGGAUUGAUCUGUUCCUAAGUAAGGCUUCGUUUGGAAUUGCGGGGUGUGAAACGACGAUAGAAAAAUAUCAUGUUUGUUUCUGUACGUAAUAUUGCGUUCCGCAUAUUGCGGUUAGUCGGUUACGAUAUAUUUUCUGCGAUUUCAUCGGAGAAAGGAGAAGCAUAUCUCUAUAUGCUUUUUCUCAACUCCAUUCUAUCUAAUAGCGUUAGAUCUGUCUCAAUACCAAACUAAAUCUAAAUCACUUAAAACUUCUCUCGUAAACACUUCGUCCUCCCCUCCCUUCAUCACUCUCGUCUCUCAACCAAAACGCUCUCUCAGAACCCUAGCUAAAUAUUCAUUCCGAUUUCCAUUCAAUAAUAAACCAAAUAUUUUUUGCAUGAUUCUAUUUUCCCAUUUCAAUGCAAUUUAAUUUCAUUUCCAAUUCUCAUUCAAUCACGAAAC